AUACGUAGGGGGCGAGCGUUGUCCGGAAUGAUUGGGCGUAAAGGGCGCGUAGGCGGCCUGUUAAGUCUGGAGUGAAAGUCCUGUUUUCAAGAUGGGAAUUGCUUUGGAUACUGCCGCGCUUGAGUGCAGGAGAGGUUAUCGGAAUUCCCGGUGUAGCGGUGAAAUGCGUAGAGAUCGGGAGGAACACCAGUGGCGAAGGCGGGUAACUGGACUGCAACUGACGCUGAGGCGCGAAAGUGUGGGGAGCAAACAGGAUUAGAUACCCUGGUAGUCCACACUGUAAACGAUGAAUGCUAGGUGUAAGAGGUAUCGACCCCUUUUGUGCCGGAGUCAACACAAUAAGCAUUCCGCCUGGGGAGUACGGCCGCGAGGUUGAAACUCAAAGGAAUUGACGGGG
rnacentral:rRNA from 1 species